rnacentral:rRNA from 1 species
GACAUAGGUGGCGAACGUUAUCCGGAAUUAUUGGGCGUAAAGGAUGCGUAGAUGGUAGAAUAAGUUAUUGGUCGAUGCCAAACUCAAUUUGGCGGAAGCUGGUAAUACUGUUCAGCUAGAGGGCAGGAGAGGUUGAUGGAAUUCUGUGUGGAGCGGUGAAAUGCGUUGAUCUGCAGAGGAACACCAAAAAAGGCGAAGGCAGUCAACUAUUCUGAUCCUGACAUUGAGGCAUGAAAGCGUGGGGAGCAAACCGG